rnacentral:rRNA from 1 species
AUGAACGCUGGCGGCGUGCCUAAUACAUGCAAGUCGAGCGAACAGACGAGGAGCUUGCUCCUCUGACGUUAGCGGCGGACGGGUGAGUAACACGUGGAUAACCUACCUAUAAGACUGGGAUAACUUCGGGAAACCGGAGCUAAUACCGGAUAAUAUAUUGAACCGCAUGGUUCCAUAGUGAAAGACGGUUUUGCUGUCACUUAUAGAUGGAUCCGCGCCGCAUUAGCUAGUUGGUAAGGUAACGGCUUACCAAGGCGACGAUGCGUAGCCGACCUGAGAGGGUGAUCGGCCACGCUGGAACUGAGACACGGUCCAGACUCCUACGGGAGGCAGCAGUAGGGAAUCUUCCGCAAUGGGCGAAAGCCUGACGGAGCAACGCCGCGUGAGUGAUGAAGGUCUUCGGAUCGUAAAACUCUGUUAUUAGGGAAGAACAAAUGUGUAAGUAACUAUGCACGUCUUGACGGUACCUAAUCAGAAAGCCACGGCUAACUACGUG